UGGGGAAUAUUGGGCAAUGGGCGCAAGCCUGACCCAGCAACGCCGCGUGAGGGAAGAAGGUCUUCGGAUUGUAAACCUCUGUCCUUGGGGACGAAAAAAAUGACGGUACCCAAGGAGGAAGCUCCGGCUAACUACGUGCCAGCAGCCGCGGUAAUACGUAGGGAGCGAGCGUUGUCCGGAAUUACUGGGCGUAAAGGGUGCGUAGGCGGCUUGGCAAGUCAGAUGUGAAAUCCCCGGGCUUAACUCGGGGGGUGCAUUUGAAACUGCCAGGCUUGAGUGCAGGAGAGGAAAGCGGAAUUCCUAGUGUAGCGGUGAAAUGCGUAGAUAUUAGGAAGAACACCAGUGGCGAAGGCGGCUUUCUGGACUGUAACUGACGCUGAGGCACGAAAGCGUGGGGAGCAAACAG
rnacentral:rRNA from 1 species